rnacentral:rRNA from 1 species
AGCGAAUAGAUACCCGGGUAGUCCCAGCCGUAAACGAUGCGCGUUAGGUGUAUCGGUGACCACGAGUCACCGAGGUGCCGAAAGGGAAAACCGUGAAACGUGCCGCCUGGGAAGUACGGUCGCAAGGCUGAAACUUAAAGGAAUUGGCGGGGGAGCACCACAACAGGUGGAGCCUGCGGUUUAAUCGGACUCAACGCCGGGAACCUCACCGGAUAAGACAGCGGGAUGAUAGCCAGGCUGAAGACUUUGCUUGACUAGCUGAGAGGAGGUGCAUGGCCGUCGUCAGUUCGUACUGUGAAGCAUCCUGUUAAGUCAGGCAACGAGCGAGACCCACGCCAACAGUUGCUAGCAUGUCCUGG